CACGUAGGGCGCAAGCGUUGUCCGGAAUUAUUGGGCGUAAAGAGCUCGUAGGCGGUCUGUUGCGUCUGCUGUGAAAACCCGGGGCUUAACCCCUGGCUUGCAGUGGAUACGGACAGACUAGAGGUAGGUAGGGGAGAAUGGAAUUCCCGGUGUAGCGGUGAAAUGCGCAGAUAUCGGGAGGAACACCGGUGGCGAAGGCGGGUCUCUGGACAGUUCCUGACGCUGAGGCGCGAAGGCCAGGGGAGCAAACGGG
rnacentral:rRNA from 1 species